AGAGAGAAGGAAAGAGACGGAGAGACAUUGCAUAAGUGAGACAUGAAGGCUGCCGUGAGCUCAGUGACGUUCGGAUUGGCUCAAGCAAUCAGUUUGCUGCGAGCAAACACUCCGUCAAUCGAUGUCACCCAACUGAUAGACUGAUGUUUGCUCUCAAAAGUUUGUGCUCAUUUGUUUGACAUUUCAGCAAAGCUCCCCAAGAACUCUAUCUGACUCACAGGCAAACUCACGUCAUUAUCAGUGUCAUCAAAGUGAAUUUGGUGCAAGAUUUUCAUAGUGAUUUCUUGUAGUGUUUAACCAUGAGUGUUUGUAAGCCACCAAAAGUUUUAAUCCAGGAAUAACUCAGUUAAUUCCAAAUGCGACAGCGGCAGAAACUAAAGUAGCUCUCCAAAUGAACCACCGGAGAGGCAUGUGUUAAUCGAUGCCUACAGUGAGAUUAUCUCGUGUCAUUUGGAUGAGCUGCAGCGAUAUCUAACUCCCACCUUUCAUUGAUUGGAAACUGAGAGACAACAAAGUCAUGCGAUCAAGAGUGCACUAAAGCAAUUUAAUUUCCAUUUUCAGACAAAAUCCAAAAAAAAAAAAAAAAUUAUUUACAUAAAUAAAGCAAGGAUGUUGUUUUAUAGCCAGGAAUUUAUAUGUUAAUGGUUUAAAAGCUAGCAGCAGAUAAUCUUCUGGGACUGCUGUGUCACAUAUCAUGAGGUGACGUUGCCUAGCAACCACCUAUCAAUGGGCUAAGAUGACCCAUUUCUUUCUUUUUGGUUUUUUUUUUUUUUGGUGUUUAUGCACCUACAGCAAACCAGCUCCAGCAUCACUAUCACUUUGAUUUCACAACAAUACCAUCUGAUUUGUAUCCACAAAACCUGGAUGGUGUAUUACGUGGUUUGUGACGUCAUCACGUUGCCUAGCAACCGCCUACCAACAGACUAAAAUCAUAGCACGUGUACUGUGGCGUGGGCAUGUGCUGGUGAUACGAAAGUACAGGAUCACUUUGAUUGUCGUUUACUGCCUGCACUGUGAAAAGCGUGUCAGAGUUGUAGUUGCAGGUAAAUGAUUGUCACUCGGCUUUCUGCUUUAAUAGACUGCAGUAUGUUUUUUGGGUAAGCCUUAUUUAACAGAAAGAGUGCAGGUCAAGUUUCACUUACUGUGUGCUGGGUUGAUCUGACUAGCUAAGUUUUUAAUUAAAAAAGUUAAUUAAACCACGUGCUGCCAGGUGGCAUAAUAAAAUUAAGAUGUUAUUUAACUUGCACUUCUCUUUCUUCACUGUGCUUGAUGACAUUUCUCUGCACGCUUUACUGUCACAUGGGGCAAAAAAUCGGGGCAACCGCAUGGUUCAAUCAGCACAGCCACCUUUUUGCAUUACAAUAAGCAUGCAAAGUGUUCCAAACCAAAUGUUCCACAAAUAAUGAGCUUACAUUACAUUCUACAGGCUAGCUUUCAUAUUCUGGCUCAUAAAGACCUACACCUUGGCCAUCCACGAACUGCUGGACCAACUGAAGAAACAAACCCUAUAACUCAACCAGGAUGAAGAGCCAAACAACUCACCAUGUCAGUUCCCAGAUCAAUACAGAGGAUGGUGACGGUUCCCAGGGGCAGAGGGAUGUUGGCGAUGAUGAAGAGGAGGAAGGGUGAGAUCUCGGGGAUGUUGCUGGUCAGAGUGUAGGCGAUGGACUUCUUCAA